rnacentral:lncRNA from 1 species
CCCAAAAAUCCGUCCACAAAGCAAUCUGCCGCAAGCAAGCAAAAGAGAAUUCUUGGAUGCACUUGCUUACCCAAGUUGGAGCAUUUUAGGUGUUUUCUUUCCUUUGAUUUUAAUGUCUAAUUUUAUGUAUCUUUGCUUUGUGAGUAUGAGGAACUAAACCCCUCUUAGUUAAUGGGUGAUUCAAAACCAUGUUCAUACUUGCAAUAUGAUUUGAUUACAUCCAAUUGUGAUUCAUAAGUUGUGAAUUCAAUUUACUUAUCCGAUCGUGUAAAAAAUGAUUUGUGUAUGUUGGUUGAGAGUGCACGCUUAAUUUUCAUGCAUGAAUUUAACGCUAGAAU